CGGGGUGUGGCCUAGUAGCUAAGGCGCCGCGUUCGGGACGCGGAGAUCGCAGGUGCAAGUCCUGUCGCCCCGA
rnacentral:tRNA from 1 species